UGCAAGUCGAACGAAGUAGCAAUACUUAGUGGCAGACGGGUGAGUAACAUGUAGGUAUCUACCCUUUGGCCUGGAAUAACACGAGGAAACUUGUGCUAAUACCGGAUAAGUCUUUACAGAGAAAGCUUUAUGCACCAUUGGAUGAGCCUGCACUUGAUUAGUUUGUUGGUGGGGUAAUGGCCUACCAAGACUUUGAUCAAUAGCUGAUUUGAGAGGAUGAUCAGCCACAUUGGGACUGAGACACGGCCCAAACUCCUACGGGAGGCAGCAGUGGGGAAUCUUGCACAAUGGAGGAAACUCUGAUGCAGCGAUGCCGCGUGAGUGAAGAAGGCCCUUGGGUUGUAAAGCUCUUUCGUCGGGGAAGAAAAUGACUGUACCCGAAUAAGAAGGUCCGGCUAACUUCGUGCCAGCAGCCGCGGUAAUACGAAGGGACCUAGCGUAGUUCGGAAUUACUGGGCUUAAAGAGUUCGUAGGUGGUUGAAAAAGUUGGUGGUGAAAUCCCAGAGCUUAACUCUGGAACUGCCAUCAAAACUUUUCAGCUAGAGUUUGAUAGAGGAAAGCAGAAUUUCUAGUGUAGAGGUGAAAUUCGUAGAUAUUAGAAAGAAUACCAAUUGCGAAGGCAGCUUUCUGGAUCAUUACUGACACUGAGGAACGAAAGCAUGGGUAGCGAAGAGGAUUAGAUACCCUCGUAGUCCAUGCCGUAAACGAUGUGUGUUAGACGUUGGAAAUUUAUUUUCAGUGUCGCA
rnacentral:rRNA from 1 species